rnacentral:rRNA from 1 species
UACGAAGGGUGCAAGCGUUACUCGGAAUCACUGGGCGUAAAGCGUGCGUAGGUGGUUUGUUAAGUCUGAUGUGAAAGCCCUGGGCUCAACCUGGGAACGGCAUUGGAAACUGGCUUACUAGAGUGCGGUAGAGGGGUGUGGAAUUCCCGGUGUAGCAGUGAAAUGCGUAGAUAUCGGGAGGAACAUCUGUGGCGAAGGCGACACCCUGGACCAGCACUGACACUGAGGCACGAAAGCGUGGGGAGCAAACAGG